UAGCCUUGACUCGAGACUGAGCGUGGGCGUCACAGUCGGGGAGCCUUCGUUUUUUAUCGUAUCUUCUGUCCCUUGCCUCGCAUCUUUCCCUUUGUCUCACCUAAACUGCUGCGCGUUAAAGUCACGGUCCGAUAUUUAAGUCCUCCACAUGCUAUUUAGUUCUCCAUCCGCUCUUUACUAAGAUUCAUAGCAACUACCGUGGAUCCUCGUAUAAUGUGGAUUCGUACAAAAUCGCGACCAUAUUCACAGAACGUGAUAAAAGCAACUGUUCGACGUAUUUUUUACAGUUCCAUGUGUAGAUGCGAGUCAAAGAACGAGGAUCCACAGAAAUUGCAGAUUUCUUCGCUAUAAACUCAUCUUCGACGAUAACGCGAAAUUCCACGCGUAUGCGUUCUUCGGAACCUUUUUCCGCCAGUUGCGAGUAUCUUUUUAACUCUCCUCAAUGUUUGCAGACGCCAUCUGAGCUUCUGAGACCGUAUAACGGGUGUAAAUUAGUACGGGGUACUGGAGAAAUCAUUUGGUCGAUUUGUGUGCCAGGUGGAGCUUGCUUCUUACUUGGUGUAGGAUUGUCAAUGAUUUGACGCACGAGGUUUUUAUCUGC
rnacentral:misc_RNA from 1 species